GGUUUUUAGGGCUCUCCCUGCCUUGCAAAGGAAGCAUCAUCUCAUUUUACAUUUCAUAAUGCUGUGGCUGCUGUGUCUGCCACAGUGAUCCCUACUCACUGUGGAGCAUUUUUCAAAGCAUUUCAUGCAUCUUUUUAUUUGGAUCUUCGCACGCCUGUAGUCCCAGCUCCUUGGGAAGUUGAGGUGGGAGGAUUGUUUGAGCACAGCAGCUUGAGACUUCAGUGAGACAUGAUAAUGCCACUGCACUCCAGCCUGGGCAACACAGCAAGACUCUGUCUCCCCAAACAAACAAACAAAAACCAAAUACUAUUUUAGCCCCGUUUGACAUAGUCAGAAACUGACGCUCAUACAGAUUAAUCACUAAAAGACACAUAACU
rnacentral:lncRNA from 10 species